CAACGAAGAGAUUAAAUCCAGUCUCUAUAGUAAUGAAUAAUUGGUCCCGAAAACAGAAUUUAGUGGGUCAAUAGGCACCGCUCCUCACUAAAUUAAAAUAUAUUUCUCUUUCUUUUUGGGACAUAGUAAAAUCCCUAAACCCUAAUCUGCUCACCUUUAAGUUUCCUCACAUUGAAUACACAUCUUCUUCUUCAUCUUCAUCGACUAAAGUUGCUUCUUCCAACAUCACCAACCUCAAAAUUCUUUGAUAACGCAAGAUUAAGAAACCAAUGAAGCUAAUUUCUUUCCCGUCAUGAGUAACCCACCUUCUAGUGAUGCUCUUUCGAUUUGACGAAGAAGAUUCCAGUUGGGCUCUGCAACAACCGUAAUAAUCAACAAAAUGGGGGUUUCAGAUCAAAGGUUUGGUGAACAAGUCAAUUAUAGUUCUCGUCUAAGGAGGGACGGAUACCCAUUAAAUGUUUGCAGAACCAGUUGAUCGCGCUGAGGUUCUAUUGGUCUUAUGAUUGGCUUUGGUUUUUAAAGGCCAGGUAUUCGUAAUAAAUUACAUCUUCUGUUUCUUUUACGGUGGAAGAUUACUAUGAAAUCAUUAAAGAACCUAUGAAUUUCGGUACAAUAAGGCUAAGUUUCAUGAGGGAAUGUAUGAAAACCUCCAAAAGUUAGAGAUCUGUUUUUCCCCUAAAUUGAGCCUUUAGGUUUAUUUUCUUAUCUAGAAAAUCUUUUUCUUUUCCCUUCAAGUCAAAGUGGACUUGGAUGAAAUUCGAAGAAGUAAUAUCAAGUUGUGCCAGCCCUUCUCUUUCUAUUAUAGUUACGUUGAUUGUAGCAAAAUUUGGACCUUCAAUCGCAUACCAUGUUUGUGAAAUGCAUUAUCUACUAACACAACAAUCAAUCAUUAAUUUAAAAAAAUGUUCAUACAUAUAAUGUCUAUUUAAUUCUAAAAACAUGUAGUCAUGUUAUCUAUUUCUAGACUUGGUAGAUGUUACUAUCUUACUACUUGUUCUACGUAUGUUUUUUUGUAUGACUUAACAUAUUAGAAAGUAUAUACUCUACUUUUAUCAUUGAUAUUUUGUCCAUAAAUUUGCAGCUACAUGCUCAUCUAUAAUGAAAGAUUAUGUAUUUCUUAGAACAUUGCUUUAGAAUUGAGUGCAACGUUUAAAUUGGCAAGUUGAAAUUUAGAUCUAUUAGAUGGUCUAAACUAUGUUUAAUUUCAGUUCUCUAGUGGAAUUUUUAGUAGUUAUGAACAAUAUUUAUUAUGUCUUUGACAAGGUUUAGAUGAUUUGAUGAAUUUACAAGUCUCCGACCAAAAGCGAAGAUGAGAUUAUCAUUAUGCCGAGACAGUUUGACAAUUUUUCAAAUUUCCUAUAGUGAAUGUAAUGACUAA